GCUCACUUCGGAAGAACUUACACUGAAUUUGGAACCAUACAGAGAAGAUGAGCAUGGCCCCUGCACAAGAAUGGCAUGCAAAUUUGUGAAUCAUUCCAUAUUUUU